rnacentral:rRNA from 1 species
GGUAGCAGAGAAGCUUGCUUCUCUUGAGAGCGGCGGACGGGUGAGUAAAGCCUAGGAAUCUGCCUGGUAGUGGGGGAUAACGUUCGGAAACGGACGCUAAUACCGCAUACGUCCUACGGGAGAAAGCAGGGGACCUUCGGGCCUUGCGCUAUCAGAUGAGCCUAGGUCGGAUUAGCUAGUUGGUGAGGUAAUGGCUCACCAAGGCGACGAUCCGUAACUGGUCUGAGAGGAUGAUCAGUCACACUGGAACUGAGACACGGUCCAGACUCCUACGGGAGGCAGCAGUGGGGAAUAUUGGACAAUGGGCGAAAGCCUGAUCCAGCCAUGCCGCGUGUGUGAAGAAGGUCUUCGGAUUGUAAAGCACUUUAAGUUGGGAGGAAGGGCAUUAACCUAAUACGUUAGUGUUUUGACGUUACCGACAGAAUAAGCACCGGCUAACUCUGUGCCAGCAGCCGCGGUAAUACAGAG